GAUGAACGCUGGCGGCGUGCCUAAUACAUGCAAGUCGAGCGAAUGGAUUGAGAGCUUGCUCUUAUGAAGUUAGCGGCGGACGGGUGAGUAACACGUGGGUAACCUGCCCAUAAGACUGGGAUAACUCCGGGAAACCGGGGCUAAUACCGGAUAACAUUUUGAACCGCAUGGUUCGAAAUUGAAAGGCGGCUUCGGCUGUCACUUAUGGGUGGACCCGCGUCGCAUAAGCUAGUUGGUGAGGUAACGGCUCACCAAGGCAACGAUGCGUAGCCGACCUGAGAGGGUGAUCGGCCACACUGGGACUGAGACACGGCCCAGACUCCUACGGGAGGCAGCAGUAGGGAAUCUUCCGCAACGGACGAAAGUCUGACGGAGCAACGCCGCGUGAGUGAUGAAGGCUUUCGGGUCGUAAAACUCUGUUGUUAGGGAAGAACAAGUGCUAGUUGAAUAAGCUGGCACCUUGACGGUACCUAACCAGAAAGCCACGGCUAACUACGUGCCAGCAGCCGCAGUAA
rnacentral:rRNA from 1 species